rnacentral:misc_RNA from 1 species
AAGUCGUAACAAGGUAACCGUAGGUGAACCUGCGGUUGGAUCAUUAGCGUUUUUAGCAGCGCGCCGUUGUUGUGACCGUUUGUGGAGGGUAGUGUUUUGUGUGUGGUGUUUGUCUUGUGUUUUGUCGUUUGUCUUUUGGUUGGUGUUUGUCGUUUGACUUGUCGUUUGUCGUUUGACUUGUCGUUUGUCUUGUCGUUUGUGUUUCAUCUAUAUUUAUAUCUAUAUCUAUAUCUAUGACCACCUCGACAUGGACAUCGACAACCACAUCGUCAACCACAAACCUCAUGGACAUGGACAACCACAAACCUCAUGGACAGCCACUUCCAAAACUGAAACACGACUCUCGACUACACGCCAAUAAACACUUUUCUUUGCUUUGAUUUCGACUAAACUAAAACAACUUUUGACAACGGAUCUCUUGGCUCUC